AGGGAUAUGGCUUAAGCAUUAGAGCACAUGACUGGCAAGUGUGAGGCCUUGAGUUCAAACCCCAGUAUCACCA
rnacentral:tRNA from 1 species